UUCAAAUGGCUGCUUUUAACCUUGGGUCCAGGUAUGGCUACCUUCUCCCAUACAAAGCUGCCUGAUUAUGAAGAUCAGGCCAUUUCCUGGGUGCCCUCACUGAGAUAUACGUCUGCUCUUUGAAGUCCAAGAUCCAGAAUUGUGUUUUGUUGCUCAUCCAUUCCUGACCUACACAUGGAAGGAGAACCUCUUGAUGUGCCCUGCCCCAUGGAUCCCCCACCAUAUCCUAAGUAUAAUUAUUUGUAAGAUGAACCAUUAAAAUUGAUGGGAUCUACUUCCUGAAUUCUCUCCUGGCUUUAUUCCUCUUUUCAUUUAAUUCAACUAAUUGAGAGAGUGCCUGUUUUUUUAAAAAAAAAAAAUGACAGAAGAAUCAGAGCCUACGGAAAGAGGAUGGUUGUCUCGUGGAGCCUGGAAAAACAAUCAUUUUGAGGAGCAGAUGUUCCGUUCUGACUAGAAAUAUCACAUAUAACGGCUACAUUGUGCACUGAAUGAAGACUGCAGCCUGCAAAAGUUCAUGCCACAAUAAACCUGCUAGUAUUCUGAGGUGCGACAGCACUUGUUUUUGUUGUUAUUAUAAAGACUGACACUGCUACUCUUGUAGGAACUAUACAUUAUAUUAGCAAUAGAAACAACAGAAGUAGCGACAAACAGAAAGUGACAUAUCAACAGGCUGAACUGCAAAGAGAAUAAGCACAGGAAUAGCUCUGAACAUGGCAUAUGUCUUGUCACUGCCUCAAGAAUGUGAAUGCUGUGUGUUCCGAUAACUGAUUUUUGUUUGUGUUCUAAGUCUAGAUUCUCUCCAUUUGUAAACCAGCUGCCAUGCUUAGCCAAUUAAU